rnacentral:rRNA from 1 species
UACGGAGGGUGCGAGCGUUGUCCGGAAUCAUUGGGCGUAAAGGGCGCGUAGGUGGCCCGGUCAGUUCGUGGUGAAAGCGCGGGGCUCAACCCUGCGUCGGCCAUGAAUACUGCCGCGGCUGGAGCACUGUAGAGGGCAGGCGGAAUUCCGGGUGUAGCGGUGGAAUGCGUAGAGAUCCGGAAGAACACCGGUGGCGAAGGCGGCCUGACUGGGCCAGUAGCUGGACACUGAGGCGCGACAGCGUGGGGAGCAACAGG